rnacentral:rRNA from 1 species
UAGGGAAUCUUCGGCAAUGGGGGCAACCCUGACCGAGCAACGCCGCGUGAGUGAAGAAGGUUUUCGGAUCGUAAAGCUCUGUUGUAAGUCAAGAACGGGUGUGAGAGUGGAAAGUUCACACUGUGACGGUAGCUUACCAGAAAGGGACGGCUAACUACGUGCCAGCAGCCGCGGUAAUACGUAGGUCCCGAGCGUUGUCCGGAUUUAUUGGGCGUAAAGCGAGCGCAGGCGGUUUGAUAAGUCUGAAGUUAAAGGCUGUGGCUCAACCAUAGUUCGCUUUGGAAACUGUCAAACUUGAGUGCAGAAG